rnacentral:tRNA from 1 species
GUUCCUGUAGCGCAAUGAAUAGCUCGUUGGACUUCUGAUCCAAAGGUCAUGGGUUCGAAUCCCACCAGGAAUG